CACGUAGGGGGCGAGCGUUGUCCGGAUUCAUUGGGCGUAAAGGGCGCGUAGGCGGCUCGCUAAGUCGGAUGUGAAAACUCUGGGCUCAACCCAGAGCCUGCAUUCGAAACUGACGAGCUGGAGUUCUGGAGGGGAAAGCGGAAUUCCUGGUGUAGCGGUGAAAUGCGUAGAUAUCUGGAGGAACACCGGUGGCGAAGGCGGCAUCCUGGACCAACACUGACGCUGAGGAGCGAAAGCCAGGGGAGCAAACGGG
rnacentral:rRNA from 1 species